GACGUGUUUAGCGGACCCGGAAGAUAAGAAGAGGCCCAAUGAGUCCCGUAACAGGGUGGUGGUAACAGGGAGUCGGCACUAAAGAAACCGAACUCGACUCUACCGUUUGUUCAGUCUCUCUCGUUGGUGGAGAUCGCCAGCCAACAUGUCGUCGCUGCUAUCCAUCGGCGGAGUAGCUCUCUCCUUCCCCCCUCUGGCAGCCGGCCUUCGCCGCCCCAUUUGCGGCAGUGCCAACGGAGUCGGUGCCGCCCAGGAGGCGGCAAUUGUGCGGCGGGCGGCGGAGGUGGCGGACCUCUCGGCGGGGCACUCCGCCCCGCACCCCAACUCCGGGUGCCUGAUCGCCAGGGGCGGAGACGUGGUCGGGCAGGGCUUCCUCUACGCGCAGGGCACCAAGUGCGCAGAGCUUCAGGCCGUCGAGAUGGCCGGCGGCCUCGCCCGCGGGGCCACCGCCUAUCUAAACUUGGAACCCGACGACUGCUAUGGCGACCACACUCCCGUCUCUUCUCUCGUCCAGGCUGGAAUUUCAAGAGUUGUAGUGGGGCUCAGGCAUCCAUUGAAGCACCUGCGAGGAAAGGCAAUCAAAUCAUUAAGAAGUGAAGGUGUUCCGGUUGAUGUUCUUGGAGAGGAUUUAAAUGGUAAAGUAUUUGAGGACAAAGUCACGAGGAGGACGAUUGGAUCUACUAAGGAACGGAAUGGCCUUUACUACCUUAAUGCUGAAGCUUUGAAGUCCUGCCUCGUAGUAAAUGCUCCAUUGCUCUAUAGAACUGCUUGUCAUGUUCCAUUCUCUAUUCUCAAGUACGCAAUGACCUUAGAUGGAAAAAUUGCAGCUAGCAGUGGACAUGCAUCAUGGGUAAGCAGCAAAUUAUCUAGAGGUCGAGUAUUUGAGCUGCGUGGCAGAAGCGAUGCCAUUGUUGUUGGAGGAAAUACUGUGCGCCGUGAUGAUCCACAGCUAACUGCAAGACAUGGAGGGGGCCAUGUUCCAGUGCGAAUUGUAAUGUCACAAACACUUGAUCUCCCUGAAGAGGCAAAGCUUUGGAAUGUCUUUGAUGCAUACACUAUAGUUGCAACACAACGGGGUGCUCGAAAAGAUGUGCAGAAGAAGCUUGCAAAAAAAGGCGUUGAAGUGGUGGAAUUUGACAUUUUGAAUCCUAAAGAUGUUAUGGAAUAUUGCUAUGACCGUGGAUGCCUCUCCAUUUUAUGGGAGUGCGGUGGGGCACUUGCUGCACCAGCAAUAUCUUCGGGCGUCAUUCACAAGGUUUGUGCUUUUGUUGCCCCGAAAAUCAUAGGGGGACUAAAUGCUCCAUCUCCAGUAGGUGAACUACGGAUGGUUCAAAUGUCACAGGCACUUAAUUUAAUUGAUGUCUCAUAUGAACAGAUUGGACCAGACAUGCUUAUAAGUGGAUUUCUUCAGCCCAUCCCUGAUCUCUCACCUGUAAUUCCACAAGCUGAUGAAACUUCAGCUCUUGAUCCAACAGUUUCUCCUUAUGAUACAAAAAUCAUAUCCUUUUAUAAGACAUGGGAUCUAUAUGGAGCAUUAUCAAACUUUUCUCCUCAUCCUGUGCGGAUGCCUGAUGAAGAUGGAACUUACUUCACAUGGUCAAGUGUAGAACACUAUUAUCAGGCACACAAAUUUGUGGGUGUUGAGAGUCCGCUAGCAAGGGACUUCAUUGAACAAAUCAAGUUAGCAAAGAGCCCUGAGGAAGCAGCACGCUUAGGCAGGAAAUUGCAGAGAGAACACCCUGAACUGAUGAUGAUAUUGGGGGGAAUUGAGUGUUGAAAUAUCUGCGUAGAUAUAUUGUUAGGAUCUACAGACUGAUAGUGAAGUAGCUGCCUAUAUUUACCAUGGUUCGACCUGACUGGGAGUCCGUUAAGAUUGAACUUAUGUACAGGGCUUUAAAGUGCAAAUUUUCGAUGCAUCCUCACUUGAAGUCCAUGCUAUGUUCAACUGCUGGCUCUGUUCUUGUCGAAGCAUCACCACAUGAUCUCUUUUGGGGUGGAGGCCGGGAGGGAGAAGGCUUAAAUUAUUUGGGUAGGCUGCUGAUGCAAUUGAGGUCAGAGAUUUUAAAAGAGAACUCAAAACUGAGGGCAAACUCAUCUUGAUUCAAAUAAAGAUGUAUAUUAAAAAUGCACAUUUAUUUGUUCGAGUUACAUUCCUAAUUCACAAAUUGGUCUAUGAAUAAAUAAAUUAGUUUUAUGACA